AUUUCGAUUAGAGUUUGAUCAUGGCUCAGAACGUACGCUGGCGGCACGCCUAACACAUGCAAGUCGAACGAAGUAGCAAUACUUAGUGGCAGACGGGUGAGUAACAUGUGGGUAUCUGCCCUUUGGCCUGGAAUAACACGAGGAAACUUGUGCUAAUACUGGAUAAGUCUUUACGGAGAAAGCUUUAUGCACCAUUGGAUGAGCCCGCACUUGAUUAGUUUGUUGGUGGGGUAAUGGCCUACCAAGACUGUGAUCAAUAGCUGAUUUGAGAGGAUGAUCAGCCACAUUGGGACUGAGACACGGCCCAAACUCCUACGGGAGGCAGCAGUGGGGAAUCUUGCACAAUGGAGGAAACUCUGAUGCAGCGAUGCCGCGUGAGUGAAGAAGGCCCUUGGGUUGUAAAGCUCUUUCGUCGGGGAAGAAAAUGACUGUACCCGAAUAAGAAGGUCCGGCUAACUUCGUGCCAGCAGCCGCGGUAAUACGAAGGGACCUAGCGUAGUUCGGAAUUACUGGGCUUAAAGAGUUCGUAGGUGGUUGAAAAAGUUGGUGGUGAAAUCCCAGAGCUUAACUCUGGAACUGCCAUCAAAACUUUUCAGCUAGAGUUUGAUAGAGGAAAGCAGAGUUUCUAGUGUAGAGGUGAA
rnacentral:rRNA from 1 species